GGGCCCGCACAAGCGGUGGAGCAUGUGGUUUAAUUCGAUGAUACGCGAGGAACCUUACCAAGACUUAAAUGUAUUUUGCUAAAUUGAGAAAUCAAUUGUUCUUCGGACAAUUUACAAGGUGCUGCAUGGUUGUCGUCAGCUCGUGCCGUGAGGUGUCGGGUUAAGUCCCAUAACGAGCGCAACCCCUAUUUUUAGUUACCAGCGAAUAAUGUCGGGGACUCUAGAAAGACUGCCUGUGUAAACAGUGAGGAAGGUGGGGAUGAUGUCAAAUCAUCACGGCCCUUAUGUCUUGGGCUACACACGUGCUACAAUGGUUACUACAGUAGGAUGCCAUCUGGUGACAGAGAGCUAA
rnacentral:rRNA from 1 species